CCUAUUAUUUAAGAGCUUGACAUUGUAAGUAAAUAAUAAUUAUGAAAGCAAAAAAUUAUGGCGGUAUUUUAAGCUUUUCAGAGGAAUUUGCUCUUUAAUGGAUAAAACACCAAAAUCUUACUUAGAUUUGUGAUUUCAAUUUGUAUACCACUAUUAAAACAAUUUAUAACUUUAAUUGUUUAAAUUUACAAAACUAAAAUAUAUUAAGUCAAGGUGCAGUAAAAAUUUAAGGAUGAAGUGAAUUACAUUACUUUUUAGUGAGAUAAAUUUAUAACAAUAUUUAGGAUUUGAAAGUAAAAUUAAAAUAGGAUGUUAAUU
rnacentral:rRNA from 1 species